rnacentral:tRNA from 4 species
CGCGGGGUGGAGCAGUUCGGUAGCUCGCUGGGCUCAUAACCCAGAGGUCGCAGGUUCAAAUCCUGCCCCCGCUACUA